rnacentral:rRNA from 1 species
UGGGGAAUAUUGCACAAUGGGCGCAAGCCUGAUGCAGCAACGCCGCGUGAACGAUGAAGGUCUUCGGAUCGUAAAGUUCUGUUGCAGGGGAAGAUAAUGACGGUACCCUGUGAGGAAGCCCCGGCUAACUACGUGCCAGCAGCCGCGGUAAUACGUAGGGGGCUAGCGUUAUCCGGAUUUACUGGGCGUAAAGGGUGCGUAGGUGGUCCUUCAAGUCGGUGGUUAAAGGCUACGGCUCAACCGUAGUAAGCCGCCGAAAAUGGAGGACUUGGGUGCAGGAGAGGGAAGGGGAAUUCCCAGUGGAGCGGUGAAAUGGGUAGAUAUUGGGAGGAAAACCAGUAGCGGAGGCGGCUUUCUGGGCUGCAACUGACACUGAGGCACGAAAGGGUGGGUAGCAAACAGG